rnacentral:lncRNA from 1 species
AAAGAGAACCAAAUGAAACCCAUCCUGUCGAUGGAUUAUAAAUAUCAUAUUACUUAAUAAGCAAUACUAAUCUAAGGAAUACCGCUCAAAGAGAUCAAAUAUUGUUGAUAUUGUAUCAUGGAAUAUUUAUCUUGACAAGAAUUUAUCUACUUGAUAAAAUAUGUAUCACAAGCACUAAGGGCUAUAGCUUAGUUGGUAGAGCAACUCGUUUACACGCGCGCCAAUGUUUUAAAGGGAGUUCAUCAUACAAUCAGAAAAAUUGAUCUUGUUGAGAAAUCGAUGUCUUACUCCAUAACUUUGAGGG